GGAGGGUGAUAGCGCCCGGUGGUGCUGCCAGUCUUCAAAACUGUGCUGUCCUGUAAAGCAGGACAGGUAGGUUCGACUCCUGCCACCUUCC
rnacentral:tRNA from 1 species